UAAACCGUGUUGCUUGUCAUCGUCGCCGUCGCGGAGAAGCGAGAAGUACAAAGUUUCAACGGAUUUUGUUUGUAGUGUGGGCCAAAAGCCCAAAUGCAUUGUGAGCCAACCACGUUUCUGCUGACGACUUUUAUUUUGGAGUAUUAUAUUGUGUGGAGAUCAUCAUUCAUUCUUUCACCAUCAUCAGUUUUUGUUUUAUU
rnacentral:lncRNA from 1 species